rnacentral:rRNA from 1 species
ACUCCUACGGGAGGCAUCAGUAGGGAAUAUUGGGCAAUGGGCGCAAGCCUGACCCAGCGACGCCGCGUGAGGGAUGAAGGUCUUCGGAUUGUAAACCUCUUUCAGUAGGGAAGAAGCGAAAGUGACGGUACCUAAAGAAGAAGCACCGGCUAACUAUGUGCCAGCAGCCGCGGUAAUAC